UCCACGGAGUGAGGUAAAGUGGAGUGGGUUAUAAUGUUUGGCCCACGUAUUAUACAAGAACCAAAGGAUUAGGGUUAUUUCAAAAUAACCCUAAUCCUUCACUGUUCUCUUCUUCGCGAACGAUCGAUUCCACUUCGUACGCGCGUACUGUUCCUUACUCCCUCUCAACUCCACUUUCCACUUUGUCUUUCACGAUCCACUUUGUCUUUCCAAUCUUUUCCUUGCCGCUCGUUCUUCCCCUUGUCGCUCCAAUCUUCUACCCAAAAUAUUUUUCUUUUGGCCAUCAUUCGAUUGUAGUCGUUCACGGAUCCGUUGUUAGGGUUUGUGGACUUUUCUUUGGAUCGGAGCUUGGUAGGAGUUUUGCGAGGAUAUGAGCAUGGUUAGGGUUUGAAGAGAUCAUGGUAGGGAUGAAGAUUUCCUAUCCCUUCGCGGUGUACGCUUGGUUAAACAAUAGUGGUUGGUGAAGAGCAAGAGUUCGUUAUUCGAGGUUCGUACACCAAUAUUUAUCAAGUGGACAGAGUUUCCUAUAGUUGAUAGGCUGGAAGUUGAUAGUUGAUAGGUUGGAAUUUGAUAGUUGAUAGGGAUUUGAUGUUUGGUUUUUGUUUUCAUAAUAACCAAUUAUGUGUUUUGGAGAAAGGUUCAUUGUCCUAUAUUUAAAUAUUAUGUGUCAA